UACAGAGGGGCAAGCGUUGUUCGGAAUUACUGGGCGUAAAGGGCGCGUAGGCGGCCUGCUAAGUCGAACGUGAAAUCCCUGGGCUCAACCCAGGAACUGCGUCCGAUACUGGUUGGCUUGAAUCCGGGAGAGGGAUGCGGAAUUCCAGGUGUAGCGGUGAAAUGCGUAGAUAUCUGGAGGAACACCGGUGGCGAAGGCGGCAUCCUGGACCGGUAUUGACGCUGAGGCGCGAAAGCCAGGGGAGCAACGGG
rnacentral:rRNA from 1 species